UGUUGGGGAAUCCACACCAAAUAUCAUAAUCAACGACUUCAUAAUGGGCGAAAUGGAACUUAUUGAGAAGUUGUUACAAACUGAAAUUAAUAUAUUCCGCUCAAUCAGAGAUGGAAGUGCUUACAUGCAGCAUAUGGAGGACUUCUAUUACAUCACAUUACUAGAGAAUGUAAGAUCAAAUUACCAAGUUGCCUCAAGGUCAGAAGAUGUAAACACCAGCUUAUCCUGAGC